GCGAGUGUGGCGAAAUUGGUAGACGCACUAGACUUAGGAUCUAGCGCUUUACGGCAUGGGGGUUCGAGUCCCUUCACUCGCA
rnacentral:tRNA from 1 species